GAUGAACGCUAGCUACAGGCUUAACACAUGCCAGUCGAGGGGAAACGGCAUUGAGUGCUUGCACUCUUUGGACGUCGACCGGCGCACGGGUGAGUAACGCGUAUCCAACCUUCCCAUUACUGUGGGAUAACCUGCCGAAAGGCAGACUAAUACCGCAUAGUCUUCGAUGACGGCAUCAGAUUUGAAGUAAAGAUUUAUCGGUAAUGGAUGGGGAUGCGUCUGAUUAGCUUGUUGGCGGGGUAACGGCCCACCAAGGCUACGAUCAGUAGGGGUUCUGAGAGGAAGGUCCCCCACAUUGGAACUGAGACACGGUCCAAACUCCUACGGGAGGCAGCAGUGAGGAAUAUUGGUCAAUGGACGGAAGUCUGAACCAGCCAAGUAGCGUGCAGGAUGACGGCCCUAUGGGUUGUAAACUGCUUUUGUAUGGGGAUAAAGUUAGGGACGGGUCCCUAUUUGCAGGUACCAUACGAAUAAGGACCGGCUAAUUCCGUG
rnacentral:rRNA from 1 species